GAUUUAGCAAUGAUUAUAAAAAUAAUUCCUUGUUUUGACUUGUUCAAUUCAAUUUGGACAUGACAUAUAUUUUUAUUACACCCAUAGAAUCUGAGCUAC
rnacentral:snoRNA from 1 species